CAGGGACCUCCGGAGCGUACAGGACCGAUACACCUCUCCAGCCGAAACACAACAGCCAUACGCAGCUGAUACUGACAUUUCUGAUCCAGAUACCUGAUGACUGCUUCAGCCGCCUGUAGGUGACUGGGUGAACUACAGCCAGAUUCCAAUAAGGAAGACGGGAACUCCGACCAGACCGCUCAGCUCUAUGGCCACCAGGUGGUACGUGAACACGUCGCUGUGGCUCCCAGAUUUGAAGGAAUGCCCGUGUUUGAAACGAUGGAGUCCAUGGAGGAGGACAAGGACACAGAGAGGGAAUAAGGCCAAGGUUUUGAUGAUGUUGUCUGGUUUUACAGCUGAAACAGGCGAAGACUCCCGCUCUGUGCAGAUACUGCAGAGGAACCAGGGCGCUGCAGGGAAGACAGAAC